UAAUACGUAGGGGGCGAGCGUUGUCCGGAAUUACUGGGCGUAAAGGGCGUGUAGGCGGGGCGGCAAGUCAGGUGUGAAAUCCCGGGGCUUAACUCCGGAGCUGCAUCUGAAACUGCUGUUCNGAGUGCUGGAGAGGAAAGUGGAAUUCCCAGUGUAGCGGUGAAAUGCGUAGAGAUUGGGAGGAACACCAGUGGCGAAGGCGGCUUUCUGGACAGUAACUGACGCUGAGGCGCGAAAGCGUGGGGAGCAAACAGGAUUAGAUACCCUGGUAGUCCACGCCGUAAACGAUGGAUACUAGGUGUAGGAGGUAUCGACCCCUUCUGUGCCGGAGUUAACACAAUAAGUAUCCCGCCUGGGGAGUACGGCCGCAAGGCUGAAACUCAAAGGAAUUGACGGGGGCCCGCACAAGCAGUGGAGUAUGUGGUUUAAUUCGAAGCAACGCGAAGAACCUUACCAGGGCUUGACAUCCCUCUGACCGGUGUAGAGAUACACCUUCCCUUCGGGGCAGAGGUGACAGGUGGUGCAUGGUUGUCGUCAGCUCGUGUCGUGAGAUGUUGGGUUAAGUCCCGCAACGAGCGCNACCCCUGUUGUUAGUUGCCAUCAUUAAGUUGGGCACUCUAGCAAGACUGCCGGUGACAAAUCGGAGGAAGGUGGGGAUGACGUCAAAUCAUCAUGCCCCUUAUGUCCUGGGCUACACACGUACUACAAUGGCGACUACAAUGGGAGGCNAUACCGCGAGGUGGAGCAAAUCCCCAAAAGUCGCCCCAGUUCAGAUUGCAGGCUGCNACUCGCCUGCAUGAAGUCGGAAUUGCUAGUAAUGGCAGGUCAGCAUACUGCCGUGAAUACGUUCCCGNGCNUUGUACACACCGCCCGUCACACCAUGAGAGCUGACAACACCCGAAGUCAGUAGCCUAACCGCAAGGGGGGGGCGCUGCCGAAGGUGGGGUUGGUGAUUGGGGUG
rnacentral:rRNA from 1 species